rnacentral:rRNA from 1 species
UAAGCGUGCGCAGGCGGUUUGUAAGACUGUCGUGAAAUCCCCGGGCCUCAACCUGGGAAUGGCGAUGGUGACUGCAAGGCUAGAGUUUGGCAGAGGGGGGUAGAAUUCCACGUGUAGCAGUGAAAUGCGUAGAUAUGUGGAGGAACACCGAUGGCGAAGGCAGCCCCCUGGGUCAAAACUGACGCUCAUGCACGAAAGCGUGGGGAGCAAACAGGAUUAGAUACCCUUGU